ensembl:snRNA U6 U6 spliceosomal RNA
GUGUUUGCUUAGGCAGCACAUAUACUAAAAUUGGAACGAUACAGAGAAGAUAGCAUGGCUCCUGUGCAAGGAUGACAUGCAAAUCCGUAAAGCGAUACAUAUAUCU